UUAAGCGACUAAGCGUACACGGUGGAUGCCCUGGCAGUCAGAGGCGAUGAAGGACGUGCUAAUCUGCGAUAAGCGUCGGUAAGGUGAUAUGAACCGUUAUAACCGGCGAUUUCCGAAUGGGGAAACCCAGUGUGAUUCGUCACACUAUCAUUAACUGAAUCCAUAGGUUAAUGAGGCGAACCGGGGGAACUGAAACAUCUAAGUACCCCGAGGAAAAGAAAUCAACCGAGAUUCCCCCAGUAGCGGCGAGCGAACGGGGAGCAGCCCAGAGCCUGAAUCAGUGUGUGUGUUAGUGGAAGCGUCUGGAAAGGCGCGCGAUACAGGGUGACAGCCCCGUACACAAAAAUGCACAUACUGUGAGCUCGAUGAGUAGGGCGGGACACGUGGUAUCCUGUCUGAAUAUGGGGGGACCAUCCUCCAAGGCUAAAUACUCCUGACUGACCGAUAGUGAACCAGUACCGUGAGGGAAAGGCGAAAAGAACCCCGGCGAGGGGAGUGAAAAAGAACCUGAAACCGUGUACGUACAAGCAGUGGGAGCACGCUUAGGCGUGUGACUGCGUACCUUUUGUAUAAUGGGUCAGCGACUUAUAUUCUGUAGCAAGGUUAACCGAAUAGGGGAGCCGAAGGGAAACCGAGUCUUAACUGGGCGUUAAGUUGCAGGGUAUAGACCCGAAACCCGGUGAUCUAGCCAUGGGCAGGUUGAAGGUUGGGUAACACUAACUGGAGGACCGAACCGACUAAUGUUGAAAAAUUAGCGGAUGACUUGUGGCUGGGGGUGAAAGGCCAAUCAAACCGGGAGAUAGCUGGUUCUCCCCGAAAGCUAUUUAGGUAGCGCCUCGUGAAUUCAUCUCCGGGGGUAGAGCACUGUUUCGGCAAGGGGGUCAUCCCGACUUACCAACCCGAUGCAAACUGCGAAUACCGGAGAAUGUUAUCACGGGAGACACACGGCGGGUGCUAACGUCCGUCGUGAAGAGGGAAACAACCCAGACCGCCAGCUAAGGUCCCAAAGUCAUGGUUAAGUGGGAAACGAUGUGGGAAGGCCCAGACAGCCAGGAUGUUGGCUUAGAAGCAGCCAUCAUUUAAAGAAAGCGUAAUAGCUCACUGGUCGAGUCGGCCUGCGCGGAAGAUGUAACGGGGCUAAACCAUGCACCGAAGCUGCGGCAGCGACGCUGAUGCGUUGUUGGGUAGGGGAGCGUUCUGUAAGCCUGCGAAGGUGUGCUGUGAGGCAUGCUGGAGGUAUCAGAAGUGCGAAUGCUGACAUAAGUAACGAUAAAGCGGGUGAAAAGCCCGCUCGCCGGAAGACCAAGGGUUCCUGUCCAACGUUAAUCGGGGCAGGGUGAGUCGACCCCUAAGGCGAGGCCGAAAGGCGUAGUCGAUGGGAAACAGGUUAAUAUUCCUGUACUUGGUGUUACUGCGAAGGGGGGACGGAGAAGGCUAUGUUGGCCGGGCGACGGUUGUCCCGGUUUAAGCGUGUAGGCUGGUUUUCCAGGCAAAUCCGGAAAAUCAAGGCUGAGGCGUGAUGACGAGGCACUACGGUGCUGAAGCAACAAAUGCCCUGCUUCCAGGAAAAGCCUCUAAGCAUCAGGUAACAUCAAAUCGUACCCCAAACCGACACAGGUGGUCAGGUAGAGAAUACCAAGGCGCUUGAGAGAACUCGGGUGAAGGAACUAGGCAAAAUGGUGCCGUAACUUCGGGAGAAGGCACGCUGAUAUGUAGGUGAGGUCCCUCGCGGAUGGAGCUGAAAUCAGUCGAAGAUACCAGCUGGCUGCAACUGUUUAUUAAAAACACAGCACUGUGCAAACACGAAAGUGGACGUAUACGGUGUGACGCCUGCCCGGUGCCGGAAGGUUAAUUGAUGGGGUCAGCGCAAGCGAAGCUCUUGAUCGAAGCCCCGGUAAACGGCGGCCGUAACUAUAACGGUCCUAAGGUAGCGAAAUUCCUUGUCGGGUAAGUUCCGACCUGCACGAAUGGCGUAAUGAUGGCCAGGCUGUCUCCACCCGAGACUCAGUGAAAUUGAACUCGCUGUGAAGAUGCAGUGUACCCGCGGCAAGACGGAAAGACCCCGUGAACCUUUACUAUAGCUUGACACUGAACAUUGAGCCUUGAUGUGUAGGAUAGGUGGGAGGCUUUGAAGUGUGGACGCCAGUCUGCAUGGAGCCGACCUUGAAAUACCACCCUUUAAUGUUUGAUGUUCUAACGUUGACCCGUAAUCCGGGUUGCGGACAGUGUCUGGUGGGUAGUUUGACUGGGGCGGUCUCCUCCUAAAGAGUAACGGAGGAGCACGAAGGUUGGCUAAUCCUGGUCGGACAUCAGGAGGUUAGUGCAAUGGCAUAAGCCAGCUUGACUGCGAGCGUGACGGCGCGAGCAGGUGCGAAAGCAGGUCAUAGUGAUCCGGUGGUUCUGAAUGGAAGGGCCAUCGCUCAACGGAUAAAAGGUACUCCGGGGAUAACAGGCUGAUACCGCCCAAGAGUUCAUAUCGACGGCGGUGUUUGGCACCUCGAUGUCGGCUCAUCACAUCCUGGGGCUGAAGUAGGUCCCAAGGGUAUGGCUGUUCGCCAUUUAAAGUGGUACGCGAGCUGGGUUUAGAACGUCGUGAGACAGUUCGGUCCCUAUCUGCCGUGGGCGCUGGAGAACUGAGGGGGGCUGCUCCUAGUACGAGAGGACCGGAGUGGACGCAUCACUGGUGUUCGGGUUGUCAUGCCAAUGGCACUGCCCGGUAGCUAAAUGCGGAAGAGAUAAGUGCUGAAAGCAUCUAAGCACGAAACUUGCCCCGAGAUGAGUUCUCCCUGACUCCUUGAGAGUCCUGAAGGAACGUUGAAGACGACGACGUUGAUAGGCCGGGUGUGUAAGCGCAGCGAUGCGUUGAGCUAACCGGUACUAAUGAACCGUGAGGCUUAACCUU
rnacentral:rRNA from 1 species